UACGGAGGAUCCGAGCGUUAUCCGGAUUUAUUGGGUUUAAAUGGAGCGUAGGUGGAUUGUUAAGUCAGUUGUGAAAGUUUGCGGCUCAACCGUAAAAUUGCAGUUGAAACUGGCAGUCUUGAGUACAGUAGAGGUGGGCGGAAUUCGUGGUGUAGCGGUGAAAUGCUUAGAUAUCACGAAGAACUCCGAUUGCGAAGGCAGCUCACUAGACUGCAACUGACACUGAUGCUCGAAAGUGUGGGUAUCAAACAGG
rnacentral:rRNA from 1 species